GCGAAAUGCGAUACUUGGUGUGAAUUGCAGAAUCCCGUGAACCAUCGAGUCUUUGAACGCAAGUUGCGCCCGAAGCCGUCAGGCCGAGGGCACGUCUGCCUGGGCGUCACG
rnacentral:rRNA from 10 species